AUUGAACGCUGGCGGCAUGCCUUACACAUGCAAGUCGAACGGUAACAGGUUAAGCUGACGCGUGGCGAACGGGUGAGUAAUGUAUCGGAACGUGCCCAAUCGUGGGGUAUAACUUCGCGAAAGAUCAGCUAAUACCGCAUACGACCUGAGGGUGAAAGCGGGUGAUCGCAAGGCCUCGCGCGAUUGGGGCGGCCGAUAUCAGAUUAGGUUGUUUGUGGGGUAAAGGCUGACCAAGCCGACGAUCUGUAGCUGGUCUGAGAGGACGAACAGCCACACUGGGACUUGGACACCGCCCAGGCUCCUACGGGAGGCAGCAGUGGGGAAUUUUGGACAAUGGGCGCAAGCCUGAUCCAGCCAUGCCGCGUGCGGGAAGAAGGCCUUCGGGUUGUAAACCGCGUUUGUCAGGGAAGAAAAGGUUCUGGCUAAUACCUGGGACGCAUGACGGUACCUGAAGAAUAAGCACCGGCUAACUACGUG
rnacentral:rRNA from 1 species